CUGGUCUGCGUGGAGGUCGACGACUCCGUCGCAGACUACGGACCUGUCUGGGUCUCAGCCGCCAAAGACCCCGUCCGGUAGGAAGUACUAGCCGGACAUCAUGAGUGGCUGUCGAGUAUUCAUCGGGAGACUAAAUCCAGCGGCCAGGGAGAAGGACGUGGAAAGAUUCUUCAAGGGAUAUGGACGGAUAAGAGAUAUUGAUCUGAAAAGAGGCUUUGGUUUUGUGGAAUUUGAGGAUCCGAGGGAUGCAGAUGAUGCUGUGUAUGAGCUUGAUGGAAAAGAACUCUGUAGUGAAAGGGUUACUAUUGAACAUGCUAGGGCUCGGUCACGAGGUGGAAGAGGUAGAGGACGAUACUCUGACCGUUUUAGUAGUCGCAGACCUCGAAAUGAUAGACGGUAUGUGAAGGGUGGAUGGCUGCAUUGAACAAUUAUUGUAGGGGUAGCAGUUAAGGUUCAGGAGUCAUUAGCAGUGAUGAUUCCGGGUCCUGCCGUAUAAUCUGUUCUUCUGUUCCCACGUUAGCCCAUUGUUCUUGAUGAAUCUAUAUGAGUCACAGAACACAAAUCUAUUGACGGAAGUCAUUAGAAUGGCUUGUCAUAUCUGAUGGCUUGAACUUGCCCACAGUUGAACACAAGUGCUGUCAUUGCAUUUCUUCCAUUGUGAAUACGAAUUUUCUUCCUCAGAAAUGCUCCACCUGUAAGAACAGAAAAUCGUCUUAUAGUUGAGAAUUUAUCCUCAAGAGUCAGCUGGCAGGAUCUCAAAGAUUUCAUGAGACAAGCUGGGGAAGUAACGUUUGCGGAUGCACACCGACCUAAAUUAAAUGAAGGGGUGGUUGAGUUUGCCUCUUAUGGUGACUUAAAGAAUGCUAUUGAAAAACUUUCUGGAAAGGAAAUAAAUGGGAGAAAAAUAAAAUUAAUUGAAGGCAGCAAAAGGCACAGGUA
rnacentral:sRNA from 1 species